GAUGUAACGGGGCUAAACCAUGCACCGAAGCUGCGGCAGCGACACUAUGUGUUGUUGGGUAGGGGAGCGUUCUGUAAGCCUGCGAAGGUGACCUGUGAGGGUUGCUGGAGGUAUCAGAAGUGCGAAUGCUGACAUAAGUAACGAUAAAGCGGGUGAAAAGCCCGCUCGCCGGAAGACCAAGGGUUCCUGUCCAACGUUAAUCGGGGCAGGGUGAGUCGACCCCUAAGGCGAGGCCGAAAGGCGUAGUCGAUGGGAAACAGGUUAAUAUUCCUGUACUUGGUGUUACUGCGAAGGGGGGACGGAGAAGGCUAUGUUAGCCGGGCGACGGUUGUCCCGGUUUAAGCAUGUAGGCUGGUUGUCCAGGCAAAUCCGGAUAAUCAAGGCUGAGGUGUGAUGACGAGGCACUACGGUGCUGAAGUAACAAAUGCCCUGCUUCCAGGAAAAGCCUCUAAGCAUCAGGUAACAUUAAAUCGUACCCCAAACCGACACAGGUGGUCAGGUAGAGAAUACCAAGGCGCUUGAGAGAACUCGGGUGAAGGAACUAGGCAAAAUGGUGCCGUAACUUCGGGAGAAGGCACGCUGGUGUGUAGGUGAAGUCCCUGCGGAUGGAGCUGAGACCAGUCGAAGAUACCAGCUGGCUGCAACUGUUUAUUAAAAACACAGCACUGUGCAAACACGAAAGUGGACGUAUACGGUGUGACGCCUGCCCGGUGCCGGAAGGUUAAUUGAUGGGGUUAUCCGUAAGGAGAAGCUCUUGAUCGAAGCCCCGGUAAACGGCGGCCGUAACUAUAACGGUCCUAAGGUAGCGAAAUUCCUUGUCGGGUAAGUUCCGACCUGCACGAAUGGCGUAAUGAUGGCCAGGCUGUCUCCACCCGAGACUCAGUGAAAUUGAACUCGCUGUGAAGAUGCAGUGUACCCGCGGCAAGACGGAAAGACCCCGUGAACCUUUACUAUAGCUUGACACUGAACAUUGAGCCUUGAUGUGUAGGAUAGGUGGGAGGCUUUGAAGCGUGGACGCCAGUCUGCGUGGAGCCAACCUUGAAAUACCACCCUUUAAUGUUUGAUGUUCUAACGUUGGCCCCUGACCGGGGUUGCGGACAGUGUCUGGUGGGUAGUUUGACUGGGGCGGUCUCCUCCCAAAGCGUAACGGAGGAGCACGAAGGUUAGCUAAUCCUGGUCGGACAUCAGGAGGUUAGUGCAAUGGCAUAAGCUAGCUUGACUGCGAGCGUGACGGCGCGAGCAGGUGCGAAAGCAGGUCAUAGUGAUCCGGUGGUUCUGAAUGGAAGGGCCAUCGCUCAACGGAUAAAAGGUACUCCGGGGAUAACAGGCUGAUACCGCCCAAGAGUUCAUAUCGACGGCGGUGUUUGGCACCUCGAUGUCGGCUCAUCACAUCCUGGGGCUGAAGUAGGUCCCAAGGGUAUGGCUGUUCGCCAUUUAAAGUGGUACGCGAGCUGGGUUUAGAACGUCGUGAGACAGUUCGGUCCCUAUCUGCCGUGGGCGCUGGAGAAUUGAGGGGGGCUGCUCCUAGUACGAGAGGACCGGAGUGGACGCAUCACUGGUGUUCGGGUUGUCAUGCCAAUGGCACUGCCCGGUAGCUAAAUGCGGAAGAGAUAAGUGCUGAAAGCAUCUAAGCACGAAACUUGCCCCGAGAUGAGUUCUCCCUGAGACUUUAAGUCUCCUGAAGGAACGUUAAAGACGAUGACGUUGAUAGGCCGGGUGUGUAAGCGCAGCGAUGCGUUGAGCUAACCGGUACUAAUGAACCGUGAGGCUUAACCUU
rnacentral:rRNA from 1 species